AAACCAACAGGGAUUGCCCUAGUAACGGCGAGUGAAGCGGCAACAGCUCAAAUUUGAAAGCUGGCCUUCGGGUCCGCAUUGUAAUUUGUAGAGGAUGCUUUGGGUGAAACGCCAGUCUAAGUUCCUUGGAACAGGACGUCAUAGAGGGUGAGAAUCCCGUAUGUGACUGGAAAUGUUAACCUAUGUAAAGCUCCUUCGACGAGUCGAGUUGUUUGGGAAUGCAGCUCUAAAUGGGAGGUAAAUUUCUUCUAAAGCUAAAUAUUGGCGAGAGACCGAUAGCGCACAAGUAGAGUGAUCGAAAGAUGAAAAGCACUUUGGAAAGAGAGUUAAAAAGCACGUGAAAUUGUUGAAAGGGAAGCGCUUGCAAUCAGACUUGUUUAAACUGUUCGGCCGGUCUUCUGACCGGUUUACUCAGUUUGGACAGGCCAGCAUCAGUUUCGGCGGCCGGAUAAAGGCUCUGGGAAUGUGGCCUUCACUUCGGUGAAGGUGUUAUAGCCCGGGGUGUAAUACGGCCAGCCGGGACUGAGGUCCGCGCUUCGGCUAGGAUGC
rnacentral:rRNA from 1 species